rnacentral:tRNA from 1 species
UUAGUUAUAUUUUAUGUUAAAAUAUUUAACUGUUAAUUAAAAGAAAGCUUUUCUGCUUAACUAAA